GAUGAACGCUGGCGGCGUGCCUAAUACAUGCAAGUAGAACGCUGAAGGAAGGAGCUUGCUCUUUCCGGAUGAGUUGCGAACGGGUGAGUAACGCGUAGGUAACCUGCCUGGUAGCGGGGGAUAACUAUUGGAAACGAUAGCUAAUACCGCAUAACAGUAGAUGUUGCAUGAUAUCUACUUAAAAGGUGCAAUUGCACCACUACCAGAUGGACCUGCGUUGUAUUAGCUAGUUGGUGAGGUAACGGCUCACCAGGGCGACGAUACAUAGCCGACCUGAGAGGGUGAUCGGCCACACUGGGACUGAGACACGGCCCAGACUCCUACGGGAGGCAGCAGUAGGGAAUCUUCGGCAAUGGACGGAAGUCUGACCGAGCAACGCCGCGUGAGUGAAGAAGGUUUUCGGAUCGUAAAGCUCUGUUGUAAGAGAAGAACGAGGGUGAGAGUGGAAAGUUCACACUGUGACGGUAUCUUACCAGAAAGGGACGGCUAACUACGUG
rnacentral:rRNA from 1 species